UCUAUUUUUAUUGUUAAAUGGAGUGAAUUUUUUUUAUUUGAUUGGUAAAAAUAAAUCGAACUUAGAAUAAAUAUUAAAAUUAGAGUAAAGAUUUACUCCAAAAAGUACAUCCAGUCACACUCAAUGUUAUAUGGACGACAUCCUAUCCUUUUCUUUUCUUAUCUUGAGAAGAUGAAUCUUCAAUCUGAUGGUGGCUGUAAAGCUUAGCAAAAGAGUAAGUGAUACAAGUUUUUAAGUCUCAGCAAUUAAUUAUGUUCCUUUGUACAAUUUGAAUUUCUUUUGUUUUUUGUUUCCUUUUUUUUGCAAGGAAAUAAUCACUGUUACCACAUCUUCACGUGAUGAGUUUCUUCCUAGAACCAAAGCUCCUCGACUGAAGAAGAUUGAUGAAGAAGAUAUCUGAGAAGAGAAGACUUCAACGUACAAGGCAAUCAUCAACUUUUUUCUGCGCAAUCAUCAACUUAAAGCAAAGAAAAAUCAUGUUCAAAAUUAAAGUCGAUCGCGAUUGAAGAAGAAUGGAGACAACUUACAUGCUAAUUUUGAUUACUAGGUAACCUUUUAACUACUCAAAGAAGACAUAAAAAUUCUUUCUCAUGUUUGACCAUAGUAAACAAUAAUUUUUUCAAUACGCUUAUUACAAAUAUUAUUUGAAACAA